rnacentral:rRNA from 1 species
GUGAACGGCACAGCGAUCUGCUGAUGUUUAAAAUCCUGUAGUGUGAACUAGGCUUAAGCAGGGCUGAGCCUGGUCAGUAUCUGGAUAGGAGACCACAUGGGUAAACUAGGUUGCUGUUGGCA